rnacentral:rRNA from 1 species
CGGCAGCACAGAGGAGCUUGCUCCUUGGGUGGCGAGUGGCGGACGGGUGAGGAAUACAUCGGAAUCUACCUUGUCGUGGGGGAUAACGUAGGGAAACUUACGCUAAUACCGCAUACGACCUACGGGUGAAAGCGGAGGACCGCAAGGCUUCGCGCGAUAAGAUGAGCCGAUGUCGGAUUAGCUAGUUGGCGGGGUAAAGGCCCACCAAGGCGACGAUCCGUAGCUGGUCUGAGAGGAUGAUCAGCCACACUGGAACUGAGACACGGUCCAGACUCCUACGGGAGGCAGCAGUGGGGAAUAUUGGACAAUGGGCGCAAGCCUGAUCCAGCCAUGCCGCGUGGGUGAAGAAGGCCUUCGGGUUGUAAAGCCCUUUUGUUGGGAAAGAAAAGCAGUCGGUUAAUACCCGAUUGUUCUGACGGUACCCAAAGAAUAAGCACCGGCUAACUUCGUGCCAGCAGCCGCGGUAAUACGAAGGGUGCAAGCGUUACUCGGAAUUACUGGGCGUAAAGCGUGCGUAGGUGGUUCGUUAAGUCUGAUGUGAAAGCCCUGGGCUCAACCUGGGAAUUGCACUGGAUACUGGCGGGCUAGAGUGCGGUAGAGGAUGGCGGAAUUCCCGGUGUAGCAGUGAAAUGCGUAGAGAUCGGGAGGAACAUCUGUGGCGAAGGCGGCCAUCUGGACCAGCACUGACACUGAGGCACGAA